GGGGAUUUAGCUCAGUGGUAGAGCGCUUGCCUAGCAAGCACAAGGCUCUGGGUUCGAUCCUCAGCUCCG
rnacentral:tRNA from 1 species